UGCUGACGAGUGGCGGACGGGUGAGUAAUGCUUGGGAAUCUGUCUUAUGGAGGGGGAUAACGACGGGAAACUGUCGCUAAUACCGCGUAGGGUCGGGAGACGAAAGUGCGGGACUUUAUGGCCGCAUGCCAUGAGAUGAACCCAAGUGUGAUUAGGUAGUUGGUGGGGUAAGGGCCUACCAAGCCGACGAUCGCUAGCUGGUCUGAGAGGAUGGCCAGCCACACCCGGGACUGAGACACGGCCCGGACUCCUACGGGAGGCAGCAGUGGGGAAUAUUGCGCAAUGGGGGCAACCCUGAACGCAGCCAUGCCGCGUGAAUGAAGAAGGCCUUCGGGUUGUAAAGUUCUUUCGGUAUUGAGGAAGGUUGGUGUGUUAAUAGCAUGCCAAAUUGACGUUAAAUACAGAAGAAGCACCGGCUAACUCCGUGCCAGCAGCCGCGGUAAUACGGGGGGUGCGAGCGUUAAUCGGAAUAACUGGGCGUAAAGGGCACGUAGGCGGACCUUUAAGUGAGGUGUGAAAUCCCCGGGCUUAACCUGGGAAUUGCAUUUCAUACUGGGGGUCUGGAGUACUUUAGGGAGGGGUAGAAUUCCACGUGUAGCGGUGAAAUGCGUAGAGAUGUGGAGGAAUACCGAAGGCGAAGGCAGCCCCUUGGGGAUGUACUGACGCUGAUGUGCGAAAGCGUGGGGAGCAAACAGGAUUAGAUACCCUGGUAGUCCACGCUGUAAACGGUGUCGAUUUGGGGAUUGGGGUUUAGCCCUGGUGCCCGAAGCUAACGUGAUAAAUCGACCGCCUGGGGAGUACGGCCGCAAGGUUAAAACUCAAAUGAAUUGACGGGGGCCCGCACAAGCGGUGGAGCAUGUGGUUUAAUUCGAUGCAACGCGAAGAACCUUACCUACUCUUGACAUCCGAAGAAGAACUCAGAGAUGGGUUUGUGCCUUAGGGAGCUUUGAGACAGGUGCUGCAUGGCUGUCGUCAGCUCGUGUUGUGAAAUGUUGGGUUAAGUCCCGCAACGAGCGCAACCCUUAUCCUUUGUUGCCAGCGACGUGGUCGGGAACUCAAAGGAGACUGCCGGUGAUAAACCGGAGGAAGGUGGGGAUGACGUCAAGUCAUCAUGGCCCUUACGAGUAGGGCUACACACGUGCUACAAUGGCGUAUACAGAGGGUAACCAACCAGCGAUGGGGAGUGAAUCUCAGAAAGUGCGUCUAAGUUCGGAUG
rnacentral:rRNA from 1 species